UCCGGCAGCAUCAAUGUGAAUCAAUGGCGUGAGGCUCUGGGUGGGGACAGAGAUUGCAUCAAUAGCCCCGCACAGAAUCUCGAGGGCGGCAGGGCAGGAUGGGCACCUCUGUUGCCUCCUUCCUGUUCUUGGCGUCAAAUUCCUGUUGCUCAUCUGCGUCUGCACAUUCUCGGGAGUGUUUGCCACUUCCCAUCCACAACUUUCAGCGACGGAUGUCUCGGCUCGGACAACGAUGAAGGGCGCAGCGAAGUGUGAUAAGCAUUGUGAAUUGCAGAAUUCCGUGAACCAACAGGGACUUGAACGUACACUGCGCUUUUGGGAUAUCCCUGAAAGCAUGCCUUCUUCAGCGUCUAACUCAUCUACUGCUGGUGACACCACUUGCUUGCAAGUGAGUCGCUUGGGUGUACUUGUGUGUUAGGGUGCUGCGCCCCUGACGCAUGCAGCAUACUUGGCCUCUCUCUUACACGCAACUUACUGAGCAUCUCCACUGCUUCUCUGUUGCGGCAUGUGUGGAGAGAGCCCUGACACGCACUUUUACUGGCAUGAAUUUUCCAAGACAUGA
rnacentral:rRNA from 1 species